rnacentral:rRNA from 1 species
UACGGAGGGUGCGAGCGUUAAUCGGAAUUACUGGGCGUAAAGGGCACGCAGGCGGGCUUUUAAGUGAGAUGUGAAAUCCCCGGGCUUAACCUGGGAAUAGCAUUUGAUACUGGGAAGCUAGAGUACUGUAGGGGGGGGUAGAAUUCCAGGUGUAGCGGUGAAAUGCGUAGAGAUGUGGAGGAAUACCGAUGGCGAAGGCAGCCCCUUGGGCAGGUACUGACGCUCAUGUGCGAAAGCGUGGGGAGCAAACAGG